GAUGAAGAACGCAGCGAAAUGCGAUAAGUAAUGUGAAAUGCAGAAUUCAGUGAAUCAUCGAAUCUUUGAACGCACAUUGCGCCCGCCAGUAUUCUGGCGGGCAUGCCUGUCUGAGCGUCAUUUCAACCCUCAAGCAACUUCUGCUUGGUGUUGGGGAUCGGCCGUCAAACGCCGCCCCCGAAAUCUAUUGGCGAUCUCGCUGUAGCUUCCUAUGCGUAGUAGUAACAUCUCGCAUCUGGAGAGCGGCGCGGUCAUGCCGUAAAACACCCAACUUCUCAGGUUGACCUCAGAUCAGGUAGGAAUACCCGCUGAACUUAAGCAUAUCAAUAAGCGGAGGA
rnacentral:misc_RNA from 1 species